rnacentral:rRNA from 1 species
GACGAACGCUGGCGGCGUGCUUAACACAUGCAAGUCGAACGGUGAACGAGGGAGCUUGCUCCCUCCGGAUCAGUGGCGAACGGGUGAGUAACACGUGAGCAAUCUGCCCCGAACUCUGGGAUAAGCGUUGGAAACGACGUCUAAUACCGGAUACGACGCGGGAGGGCAUCCUCUCCGCGUGGAAAGAACUUCGGUUUGGGAUGAGCUCGCGGCCUAUCAGCUUGUUGGUGAGGUAACGGCUCACCAAGGCGACGACGGGUAGCCGGCCUGAGAGGGUGACCGGCCACACUGGGACUGAGACACGGCCCAGACUCCUACGGGAGGCAGCAGUGGGGAAUAUUGCACAAUGGGCGCAAGCCUGAUGCAGCAACGCCGCGUGAGGGACGACGGCCUUCGGGUUGUAAACCUCUUUUAGCAGGGAAGAAGCGAAAGUGACGGUACCUGCAGAAAAAGCACCGGCUAACUACGU